AAAUAACCACAAAAUAAAAUCAAGUUGCAAUGCCACAUUAAAGAAGAAUCAAGUUUCUUGGAUGGUUACAAAUUUUGGGUGGAUGGCAAUCUAGAGUUAUGGUGUUUCAUUAAUAAAUUUGAGUUUUAAGAUUUUGUAUUUACUUUAAGGUUACAUUUACAAAGUGGCUAAUUAUGGUUAUAAAGUACAAAAGUUAUAACUCUUGAAAUGCCUCGUGAAAGGUCAAGGGUUUUUUUUUAGGCUAUACAAAGUCAUGUAUGUUGUCUUUGUAAGCUAGACUUGAAAAAUGCAGUGAAAAAGCAUUUGUGCCUUCCUUUAGCUAAAUGCUAAAUUUUUUUUCAAUUUUAUAUAAUUUAGGUUGCAUGCGUAGAAUCAUUCAAGCUUGACAUGCCUAUCUUGCUUGUGGAGUGAUUCGAAUCUCAAACAAGUUUUCUUAUCUUGAGAUAUUUGAUCAAUAAGGUAAUCUAGGUUUUACUUUUCCUUGGGGUAAUUCCUUAUCAUUAUGGAGGAAUUGGAUAUUCAGAUCUAAAAGUCUUACUAAGGUUGUUAGAUCGAAUUCACAAGAGUUACAAUUAUUUGGGAUGAAACCAUUUUAAUUUGGGAGUUUCAGCAUUUAUGAUCUAGGGGUUUGCAUAUCUAUGAGGGUUCUUAGGUCCGCUGG